AGCUCAGCUGCUCGAACAAGGAUUCACUGCCCUCCUUCAGUCAAGAUGAAGUUUCUUUGGGUGGCUGUUGUAGUCUCCGCCAUGUCUAUGGUCGGGGCCAUCUUUAAUGAAACAGGUCCACUGGCAAACAUCAAUUGCACGAAACCGUUUGAAAUCAUCAGCAGGCAAAUGGACAAUCUUGCCUCAUUCAUCCGCUGUCGUUUCUACAUUCCUCGUCAAGAGACAUGUCCCCGACAUCAGAUCCUAAGUCUGCGUGCUAAGCGAUGCGUGUACCCUUCGAGCCUUGUCAAACGGUGCGAUCCUAAUAACAAGUUCAAUUCACCAAUGCCUCACUCCGCCUUAGGACGUAAGGGCUGGUAAGGGCGGGUAAUUUCCAACCUUAACAAGUCCCGUCGAAACAAAAGAAGAACCUUACCCCAAUGAUGUAUCGUAUUCACAUCAAACCUUUGUGAUGUCACAGCUGCUAUCUUGUAUUUUGUUGUUGUCUUGUGUUGUAAUAAAAUCAUUAACCUGCA